GAUGAACGCUGGCGGCGUGCCUAAUACAUGCAAGUCGAGCGAACAGAUGAGGAGCUUGCUCCUCUGACGUUAGCGGCGGACGGGUGAGUAACACGUGGAUAACCUACCUAUAAGACUGGGAUAACUUCGGGAAACCGGAGCUAAUACCGGACAAUAUAUUGAACCGCAUGGUUCAAUAGUGAAAGACGGUUUUGCUGUCACUUAUAGAUGGAUCCGCGCCGCAUUAGCUAGUUGGUAAGGUAACGGCUUACCAAGGCAACGAUGCGUAGCCGACCUGAGAGGGUGAUCGGCCACCCUGUAACUGAGACACGGUCCAGACUCCUACGGGAGGCAGCAGUAGGGAAUCUUCCGCAAUGGGCGAAAGCCUGACGGAGCAACGCCGCGUAAGUGAUGAAGGUCUUCGGAUCGUAAAACUCUGUUAUUAGGGAAGAACAAAUGUGUAAGUAACUAUGCACGUCUUGACGGUACCUAAUCAGAAAGCCACGGCUAACUACGUG
rnacentral:rRNA from 1 species